rnacentral:lncRNA from 1 species
GGUGAUGGAGUGGGGCUGGUAACCUAGGAAGGGGCAAGGGUCACUACAAUGUUAAUUGGUGUCUGCAGAUCAGACCCAUUUUUCUAUAGUGAAUAAUUUAAAAACAAUGUCAUUCAUUAAAUGAACCAAUGCCCUUGACUUCUUAAAAGAGGUGAAGGGAAUUAAUCACAGUAAGUUCUCUGAACAUAAAAAUUAACUAAGUUUAUAGUGCUGGAACUGAUGUGUGUGCGAUAACAGUACAUUAUAUUUGAAAGGAUGACCAGAAGACAGCAGCAGGAAUUAAACUAAAGCCAAGAAACUGAGCACAGCUCCUUGGACAAAUCUUAAUCUUGGCUGAUGCCAUAUCUGGUGGGGGUGAGCUGAAGUGUACUUCACUGUGCAUAGAGAGAGAAACCUGCUUUUGAAACUCCUUCCAGAAGCAUACUAUCUUUUCAUUUUUCCACCACAAAGAGAGCUCCCAGAUGAUUAUGCACUCUUCUGCCCAGUGAACAAAAGGAAGCAUAAUCUGGACUAACUACAGGUUGAAUAUCCCAGGUUCUUCUCAGGUUAUGGUUGGCUGAGCUAUACUUAUUGAACACCUGCUGUAAAUAACCAUCAUGAAGAUGAAGCCUUGUAGGUUCCAAUUGUGGUUUACCCACAGAGUGUUCUGGGCAAAUCACUCUGUGAUUCUGUUUUCCGUGUCAUUAAAAGAGGAGAGUAUUACCACCCUCCUAAAAUGGGUAUUGUGAGGAUUAAAUGGAAACAAAAUAGGUUUUGUGGAAAUUGUAAAUGUUACCUUAACACUACACCAAUGUUAGUUAUUUUUUCCCAGUAUCUGAAAUUUGGGAGGAAAGAAUAAAAGACAGAAAAAUGAAAAAGAAGAGGAAGAGAAGGAAGAAGAGAGGAAGGACAUGUUUGCUUC